rnacentral:lncRNA from 1 species
GAAUCCAGCCAUCAUCUGAGGAAGCAGUUCAUGUCGCAGCAAAGGAAGUUCUGUUCUCACCACAGCCCCUAUCUUCUGGAAGCAGCUGUCGUAAUUGAAAGGGUGCAUUUCUCACCUGCACUGUGGUCCAGGAAACUCAAGUCACCGUCCCCACCAUGUUCUUCCUGACUUCGAAGCAGUCUGGUGACCCCAGGCAGGAACUGACUAGCAUGAGAGUCUUGAUGCAGGAGAAUUUUUGAAGAAAUUCAGAAGCAGAACCGAAAGGAGGAGAGAAGGUGGAGGUGGGAAAGCUGACAGCUGGAGACUGGGGAGGGCCCUUUGAGGCCUGGGAGAGAAUAUGUGGAUGGUGGGGAGACCUUUCCCAGCAUUUUGGUAAAGGCUCCGUCAGUGCCCUGUCCUCGUGUUGGGGUCCCCCUCUCACAAAGUAUCUUUUCCACCUUUAGCCACCUCCACCCUGUCCACUAACCUUCAGUGGGAACAGCAGAUGCAACUGGCGGGGCUGAAGGAAACAGCAGGCAGUGAGAUGGAGUGAGAACUGGAAUAAGGCAAGGAAUAUUGCUGAGAUGGUUCUCAAAUCAAUGGAGAGAGAUGUCCGUGGAUGAAUCACAAAGGGAGGGAAUGGGUGCAAAGGCCUCACUGAGAUCCAAUGACAGCAGAAGCUGCCAGGAUCUGACGUAAACCAGUUUGGUUGAAGUGUUGGGGGAGGCUAUAUGACCACAUUUUGUUUCUAUUGGCACAAUUCCAUACAUGGAAAAUGUCAUGAGACUCAAAAAUGGGUUCAGCAGAAGCUCAAAAAUAUGCUACAAAAUUCAGGAAGAAGCUAAAAUAUUAUCAGAUUAUUUUAUAAAGGACACAACUAGUCAGGAACCUUUUGAAAACACCAGCAUGCAUCAUCCAAAGAAGUAGAAUCCAAUUAAAAAAAAAAAAAAGACUGGGAGGAGUACAUCACAAAGGAGGGUGAGAUUUGGGAAGACAGUUACUCUAAGACCCUGUGAGCAAACUGCACCUGAUUCCAGAAAGACAGUUGGAGUCGAGGAGAGAAUGAAGCAACUUUACUGGCUGGGUUGAAGCCUACCCUAUCAGAACGGAAUAAGGCUAAUGCGGUUAUCAAGGUUCUCUUGAAGGAAAUAAUCCCCUGGUUUGGGUUGCCCCAAAGCCUCCAAAGUGAUAAUCGCUUGUCUUCUGCCUCCCAAAUAACUCAAAGGGUUGCUAAGGCUCUCAGAAUUAAAUACUAUUUACACUCAGCAUGGAGGCCUCAAUCCUCAGGGAAAGUAGAAAGGGCUAAUCAAACUCUAAAACUGGCAUUAGCUAAGCUAUGUCAGGAAACAUCAGAAACUUGGAUCAACUUACUGCCCAUAGCCCUCUUAAGAAACCAUUAUUCUCCAAGAGCAAAAAUUAAUAUAAGCCCAUAUAAAAUGUUAUAUGGGAGGCCAUUUUAACUAAUGAUCUAAUUACUGAUCCAGAAACGGCUGAGUUAAUAAAAUACCUAGUUAACCUAGGACAGUUUCAGCAGGUCUCGCAAGAGUUUGGAACUCAAAGGCUCCCCGCACCAGGAACUAACCAGCAAACCAAGGUCAGGCCAGGAGAUAAGGUACUUGUUAAAACAUGGAAUGAGGAGUCACCUGCUCAACAACUACAACCCUAAUGGAAGGGACUAUUUUCACUGGUGUUGGCCAUGCCUUCCAUGGCCAAAGUACUAGGAUUAGAUAGUUGGAUACCUCUUUCCAGGUUUAAGCCUGCAACAUCUGAAGCCCUGGACCUGGAACCGGAGACUCCCACCAGCCACUAUACCUGUGAACCCGUAGAAGACCUGAACUACCUAUUUAAAAGACAGUCAAAAGAUAAGUAAAUGCCUACCAAUUUUCCCUGGUGUAAAAUGUUAACUGAUUUUUGCUCUCUCACUUACAGAUGUUUGUAUAAGGGUUUCAGCCAAUUUUGGAACAAAAUUCAAAAUCAGGCCAAAAUACUUACCUGUUGUGACUAGAUCAAGCCAGCUGUACCUUUUAUAACCACGUACAAGGCUUGCCGCAACCCAUGGAUACCCACCUAAAUACUUAGGAAUAGAGAGCCAUGAUCCUCAGUAGGCAGGGACAAUGCCCAUGACCAGUAGAAAGUAGCUACAGAAAACUGAUCUUCAGCCCUUUUGCCUCCCAUAAAGAUUUAUGGGGAUCAUAUCUCUCAGAGGGAAAUGAGGCAGGAGAAUAGGGAAUUAGGGUAACCAGGGUUUCAGCUGGUGCAGCCAGUGCCGCAGGGGUGGAAGAACAGCAGGUGCAGCCAGUUCAAAUGAGCAGAAGAACAGCAGGUGCAGCAUAUAGGCCACAUCCUUGCUCCCAUGAUAACAAGCCACUUCAGCCUCCGAUUGGUCUCAGGCCAAUCCUUUAUGAGGUGUGGUCAAUUGGAGGCCUCUGAAGGGCACUGAGAGGUGUUGCCGGGUUUUUUCUUUAAUAAAAACCGUAAUUGAGGGGGCUCUUGAGCAGCCGCUUGCUCAAGCCCAAUCCCACUCUGAAUUUUCUUCAAUAAAUCUGUGCCCACACUGGCAUUUUGUUCAGUUCCUUGCCCAAUACACCAAGAACAGCAGGUGCAGCAUACAGGCCACAUCCUGGCUGGACAACUCACAUUUAGGACACUCUCUCCGGCAACAGGUGACAUCAUCCUCUUAGCCUGUCAAAAUGUUGGUAUUACAGGCAUGAGCUGCCCUGCCUGGCCUAUAACUUUUUUUGCUGAAAAAUAUUCCCUUGUAUGCAGGUAUUACAUUUAGCCAUUCAUCAGCUGGUGGACAUUUGAACUGUUUCCACUUUUGUUUACUAUGAAUAAAGCUGCUAUGAACACCUGUGUAAAGUUUUGCAUAGACAUGUUUUCAUUUCUGUAUAUAUAUCUAA